UUGAGUUUGAUCCUGGCUCAGAUUGAACGCUGGCGGCAGGCCUAACACAUGCAAGUCGAGCGGUAACAGGAAGGAAGCUUGCUUUCUUUGCUGACGAGCGGCGGACGGGUGAGUAAUGCCUGGGAAAUUGCCCUGAUGUGGGGGAUAACCAUUGGAAACGAUGGCUAAUACCGCAUGAUGCCUACGGGCCAAAGAGGGGGACCUUCGGGCCUCUCGCGUCAGGAUAUGCCCAGGUGGGAUUAGCUAGUUGGUGAGGUAAUGGCUCACCAAGGCGACGAUCCCUAGCUGGUCUGAGAGGAUGAUCAGCCACACUGGAACUGAGACACGGUCCAGACUCCUACGGGAGGCAGCAGUGGGGAAUAUUGCACAAUGGGCGCAAGCCUGAUGCAGCCAUGCCGCGUGUAUGAAGAAGGCCUUCGGGUUGUAAAGUACUUUCAGUGGUGAGGAAGGGAGUGUGGUUAAUAGCCAUAUUCUUUGACGUUAGCCACAGAAGAAGCACCGUGCUAACUCACGUGCCAGACAGCCUGC
rnacentral:rRNA from 1 species